UACAGAGGGUGCAAGCGUUGUUCGGAAUUAUUGGGCGUAAAGCGCGUGUAGGCGGUCUUGCAAGUCGGGGGUGAAAUCCCUUGGCUCAACUGAGGAAGUGCGCCCGAAACUGCAGGACUUGAGUACCGGAGAGGAUGGCGGAAUUCCCCAAGUAGAGGUGAAAUUCGUAGAUAUGGGGAGGAACACCGGUGGCGAAGGCGGCCAUCUGGACGGAUACUGACGCUGAGACGCGAAAGCAUGGGGAGCAAAAGGG
rnacentral:rRNA from 1 species